rnacentral:rRNA from 1 species
UGAGUACGAGACGCUAAGGCGUUGAAGCGGUCUAUGUCAGACUUCCAAGAAAAGCUCGCAAUGUCAUAAACAAAAAGUGCCUGUACCAUAACCGACACAGGUGGGUAGGUAGAGUAUACUAAGGGGCGCGAGAUAACUCUCUCUAAGGAACUCGGCAAAAUGACUCCGUAACUUCGGGAGAAGGAGUGCCUUAUUUUUAUAAGGUUGCAAUAACAAGAUCCAAGCAACUGUUUACCAAAAACACAGGUCUCCGCUAAGUCGUAAGACGAUGUAUGGGGGCUGACGCCUGCCCAGUGCCAGAAGGUUAAAGAAGUUGGUUAGUUUCGGCGAAGCUGAUGACUGAAGCCCUGGUGAACGGCGGCCGUAACAAUAACGGUCCUAAGGUAGCGAAAUUCCUUGUCGGGUAAGUUCCGACCCGCACGAAAGGCGUAAUGAUUUGGAUACUGUCUCGGAGAGGGGCUCGGUGAAAUAGACUUGUCUGUGAAGAUGCGGACUACCUGCACCUGGACAGAAAGACCCUAUGAAGCUUUACUGUAACUUGAGAUUGAAAUUGGACUUUAUUUGCGCAGUAUAGGUGGGAGACGUUGAGAAUAUUCUUGCGGGAAUAUUGGAGUCAUCAGUGAGAUACCACUCUUGUAAUGUUAGAUUUCUAACUUUGUAUCAUUAUCUGGUCAAAGGACAGUUUCAGGCGGGCAGUUUGACUGGGGCGGUCGCCUCCCAAACGGUAACGGAGGCGCACAAAGGUUUCCUCUGAACGUGUAGAAAUCGUAUCUAGAGUGUAAAGGCAUAAGGAAGCUUGACUGUGAGACCUACAAGUCGAGCAGGGACGAAAGUCGGUCUUAGUGAUCUGACGGUGCUGAGUGGAAAGGCCGUCACUCAACGGAUAAAAGUUACCCUAGGGAUAACAGGCUGAUCUCCCCCAAGAGUUCACAUCGACGGGGAGGUUUGGCACCUCGAUGUCGGCUCAUCGCAUCCUGGGGCGGUAGUACGUCCCAAGGGUUGGGCUGUUCGCCCAUGAAAGCGGUACGCGAGCUGGGUUCAGAACGUCGUGAGACAGUUCGGUCCAUAUCCGGUGUAGGCGUUAGAUUAUUGAGAGGAGCCUUCUUUAGUACGAGAGGACCGAGAAGGACAUACCUCUGGUGUACCAGUUAUCGUGCCAACGGUAAACGCUGGGUAGCUAUGUAUGGAGUGGAUAACCGCUGAAAGCAUCUAAGUGGGAAGCCCACCUCAAGAUAAG